ACAUUUUAAUGUUCUAUCUUACUUAAAAAACACCCUUUACAUCAACGCGUAUUAAAAGUAACGGUACUUUUAAUACAGCAAUAAUUCCAAAGUCUAUGUAAUUCUUGGCCGCGUUCCGGUGUAAAUUUUGAGAGGAUCCCAAAAAAGCUACAAAAACUUCCUCUUAUAUUUUGUAAAUAGAACAAUAAAUAAAAAAUUCCCAUAAAUCUAUAUGUAUAAAAAUAGUGCAACAAGUUUAUAGCAACCCAUCAAUUGAUAACGGCUGGGUCGAUUCGACUUAAAUUUCCAUCGGUUGCUUGUUAUUGCAGUGAAAGGGUUUUCGAAUGAACAUUAUGAGAACAACCUCCAGAAAAGUCGUUGUCGAAUUGUUCCAAAUAGCUUUUUCAAUAAAGAAACGCCAUCAAAAAUGUAAAUAAUUUUGUUACAAUCUAUACAUAAAAAUUUUGAAUUAUGGCAUCGAAUCAGAAAAAACCAAAAAGAUUGCCAACAAUCGCGAAAAUGGUGAAUGCAGCUCUAAUGAGUUCUGAUGGAAGGAAAGGUAUAACAAUAAUUGGCAUUUUGAAAUUCAUGCAUCUCACAUAUUCAGCAGAAACAACUCCUCUCAGAAAAAAGUUAGUUAGUAAAUAUAUGACUGCAUUAAUGGAUUGCCAAGCCAUACAUCAUAUAAAAGGUCGUGGUUUAGUGGGACGCUUUAAACUGGCUGACAGAAGAGAAUUCGAACGAAAAAUAAAAACAACAAAUCAAACCCGUACUGAAACCAGAAAUACAAAUGAACCACUCAAGAGUUUAAGAAGGCCACAAGAGAACGUUCCCGUGGAUGAUCCACCACCUUUAAGUCAAGUCUAUGAAUUAGAUCAACCCGGGACCAGCCAAGAAUUAAUGGCACGAAACAGAAAUAUUUUGUGUAUAAACGAUGAUCAAUUCGAUACUCCAAUGGCUCCGCGACAUGCUUCGACACCAAUGCCGGCAAUAAACUUUCCAUUAGCUCCACACCGUUUACAGACUGAAAUUAAAGAGCAAUCCGUAUUGAAUAGCAUAGAAACAACCCCACGGACAUCUUCUGCUGGGAAAAAAAUACGUCGUCGAAAGGUAUAUUAGAAUUUUAUAUCAUUACGCAAAAAUGUUUCUGGCUAUUUAAUAUAGAUGUAAAAAUGUAUACAUUUUAUUUUUUAUAAUUAUCUAUUAUUUGAUUUUUUUAAUUUUUUUAUUGUUGUAAACUUUUUCUAUGUAUAUACAGUUAUUUUUGUAAAUAGCUAUCUUUGUUAAUUGAUAAAAAUGUAAAUAUGUAUAAUUUGUUUUUAAUUUUCCUUGUAGUUCUUAAACUGCGAAGUAUUUUAUACAUGUUUUUAUAUUUUUGUAUUGUUUUUCUUAUAUUUUUAAAUUGUUAUACAUACUAAUAUUU